rnacentral:sRNA from 1 species
GCAGGUGAAUACAACGUUGAACGUUGUGCUCCAUAAUUGUAGCUUUUCUCAUAUUGAGUUUUACACAGAAUAAUUGCUCAUUAUGCCGAUACUUGUUUUAGUAUCGGCUAUU